CCUGCCGCGGCUUCCCAGUCGGAGUCGCGCUGCGGGGCGAGGGAGGCUCGCUCCUCCGCGGCCGGGGCCUGGGGGUGCCAGUGCGCCCCCGAGUGAGCGGGUAGGGAAGCCGAAGAGCCGCCGACCCGCUGCGCGCCCUCCAGUCCCGGGCGGCGCCGGGACCCAGAGCGGCCCCAGCCCGCGCCCCAGCGGGGACGCGAACGGCGUCUCGGGACGGCACCUCGCCGGGGCCUUGCCCUGUCCCGCCGCGUCGCGGCCUCUCCGCACCCCACGUCCCGGGAGCCGACCGGGAGACUCUCACGGCGGAGUUCCACAGACCUCGUUAGGUCGGGGAAGGUGUGAUUAUGAAAAUAAACAAGGGAAGUGAGGGAAAUAUAACCAAGUGGAAAAAGGAAAUGGAGUGCAAAUUGAGAACAUAAUCCAGAAUUCGUAAAAGUGGUAUGGAUAAAGAAGGUCAAAAUGGUCUCUGAUGAAAAGAAACUUUUAAAAUGCUUGGAAAAGUUAAUGAAUUAGAUUUCCCUGCACUUGAAGAUAUUAGGAUUGGGAGAUCAAGACUCCCAUCAGCCAAAUCAAGAAUAUUCACAAUUGACAGGAAAACUCAAAGUUUCUUUUUCCCCACCAGAGAAAUGUCUCCCACCCCCAUAGCUAAACAGUGAUUUUGAAGAAGAAAACUCUAGAGCAGAAAAGAAGAGGG
rnacentral:lncRNA from 1 species